UCGAGGUCUGGCUGAAACUAA
rnacentral:piRNA from 1 species